rnacentral:lncRNA from 1 species
GACUUCUGCUCUCCGCGCACCUUGGGACCAAGAUAAUGCUUGAUCAGUUCUUCGUCGUCCGGGUCGAACAUCCACCCAGUGAGAUCAGCCACCGCAGGGACCACCAUCUCUAUUCCUCUCGUGCUUCUCUCUCGAACUCGCUUCUUGAUCGCUUGUCUUAGAGCUUUAUAGAAGUUAAUUGCCUCCGCAGACCAGGGUCAAUCUCAGAGCAUAAUAUCGAAACACCUUAACCAUAAAAAUCUGAUUCCCAUUAAAUGUGUAACCAUGGUUAACCAUGGUUUCGUUAGGAAAAGAUGGCUCAAUGGGAAUAUUGCAGGAGUAAACGGACAACCCAAACUAAGGGGAGGACAAAGACGAAGACGAAGAUGAAAGUGGGGAGAAGAAGGA